GAUGAACGCUGGCGGCGUGCUUAACACAUGCAAGUCGAACGGAAAGGCCCAAGCUUGCUUGGGUACUCGAGUGGCGAACGGGUGAGUAACACGUGGGUGAACUGCCCUGCACUUCGGGAUAAGCCUGGGAAACUGGGUCUAAUACCGGAUAGGACGAUGGUUUGGAUGCCAUUGUGGAAAGUUUUUUCGGUGUGGGAUGAGCUCGCGGCCUAUCAGCUUGUUGGUGGGGUAAUGGCCUACCAAGGCGUCGACGGGUAGCCGGCCUGAGAGGGUGUACGGCCACAUUGGGACUGAGAUACGGCCCAGACUCCUACGGGAGGCAGCAGUGGGGAAUAUUGCACAAUGGGCGCAAGCCUGAUGCAGCGACGCCGCGUGGGGGAUGACGGCCUUCGGGUUGUAAACUCCUUUCGCUAGGGACGAAGCGUUUUUGUGACGGUACCUGGAGAAGAAGCACCGGCUAACUACGUG
rnacentral:rRNA from 1 species